CGGUCGGGUCUGCUGACAUCUGCCCCAUCAGUCAUUCCCGCCCAAGGCCCCGCCCUCCGGUCUCCCAUACAAGGUAUCGGAGGAAUGCGGCUCUUGGAAGUCCAUCCGCUUCAUAAGGAGACCAGAGGGGUCCAUGUGAUGACGAUAGUUAGUGUUCUGGAGAUCCGCGGCGAAGACCUCCUCUCAUACACGACAUGGCGUCUCCCGCUCAGAACGCUGCCUGGUCCUCACAACACACACAGAUGGAUGACAGGAGAGGCCGGAGAGGGGUUGCGAUGGAGAUGAGGAGACCGAAGAUGGACAUCACUCUGGAGCAGCAAUAAGAUGAGAUGUGCAUGGAGCAAAGAGGUGACUAUCAACAACACACACACACACACACACACACACACACACACACACACACACACACACACACACACACACACACACACACACACACACACACACACACACACACACACACACACACACACACACACACACACACACACACACACCCACACACACACACACACACACACACACACACACUAUUGUAUUUGUUACCUUCUUGAGACCUCCGAAAAAUUUGCCUACCUAUUCAGGACCACCCUUUCUAGAUAGAUAAAGAUUUGUAUUUACAACAUUAAUCAUAUAUACAUACUAUGCAAAUAUAAAAACGGUAAGCUUUUAUUUUUUUGUUUAUUUUUUUUUUGUUUGUAAUUGGUUUUUAAUCUUCAUUGUUUACUUCAAGUUGUAUACAUAUUUUAUUUUUUGUAUCAAUUUUGGCCAAAGGGGGCGCAUUUCAAUUUCUUACACACACUUGUUAUUUCAUAUGUUGGCCAGAGGGAGCACUUUUAAAACCGACACACAGUCAAUUUGAAAAAUCCCUCCUUUUUGGGACCACCCUAAUUCUGAUAGAUUUCACCACCUGGGGUGCAAAUUAGAUUUGCACCCCUAUUUAUUGUUUUUUGUAAUGUGCUUAAGGUUGAUGACAAACAGACCACAGAUGGCCCCUGUGCCGCUCUUUGGGCAACCCAGCUGUAAAAGCUAACUGUUAAUGGCCACUAUAGUCUUAGUAGCGUAGUGUAUUUAUUCAUCCUAUGAUCACAUAUGGGGCGCAGGUUAUCUUACGUCAGCACCAGAAGUCGUACAAUCAGCUGUUCACCUGGCGGGUUUUUUCGGGGAUAAAUAGGGAAGUCCUUCUUUAGCUGCCGUCUUGUUUUAUCAUAUAUUGCUGCCUUUGCACCUGUCAUUGUUUACUUUUGUAUGCACGUUAAAUCACCAAAAAAUCCUGACUUUGGAGCAAUGUUCACGGACUCUAGUAUUUGGCUCUCUGUGAGAUGCAAUGGGUUUCCGUAUUGGACCAUGAUUUCGGUCCUAACUUGUUCACCGGUCCUCACAUGUAAGGCGCUUUUCCUUGUUGAUGUCUCAAGAAGGGUAGACAUACAAGAACACACACACACACACACACACACACACACACACACACACACACACACACACACACACACACACACACACACACACACACACACACACACACACACACACACACACACACACACACACACACACACACUUGUUUCUUUUACAGCGUCAAAGUAGUGCCUAAGUGUAAUUGGAGAAGGAAAAGCACUUAACGCCACAGGAAGUCACAUAUGUCCAGAGUUCAAGUAGUUUCCUGUUAACCCCCCCCCCCCCUCCAUGUAAAAGUGUAUGUGCACACUCCCUGUGGCCCAUGGUGCAGUGCUGCAUCUCUGGUCAGUUGGUAGUCUGAGAUGAAGCACUGUAGCUCGGGACCAAGGACCCACACACUGGCCUCCACGCCACCAGGUGCACUAAUUCACCCGGGAGCAUUACUUUAACUUUGUCAAUCUUAACAUCUGCCAGUGACGAUGAUGAUGAAUGUUUCAUUUGUAUUUCCUCUCUCCUGGGGUCCAGUUUUCCCAGGAAUCCCUUGAGCUGUCCAAAAAAAGGGGGAUUCCUGGAAAUACUGUUCUUAGGGGCGGGGCCAAGCAUCAGUUUAAUAUUAGUAUUAGUAGUAUUAAAUAUUAAUUGAAUUGUUUCCAGGGCUAUUAAACAAUGAUUUUAUUCUCUGUAAAACCUGUAAUAAAAUGAAAUUAAAAUGUGAAUAAAAUGUGGGAAAAGAAGAUAAUAAUAUGUUUAAACUCAUGAUGUAAAAUUUCUAAUGGAAUUAUGA